GACGAACGCUGGCGGCGUGCUUAACACAUGCAAGUCGAGCGGAAAGGCCCUUUCGGGGGUACUCGAGCGGCGAACGGGUGAGUAACACGUGAGUAAUCUGCCCUUGGCUUUGGGAUAACUACCGGAAACGGUGGCUAAUACCGGAUACGACUGCUCCCGGCAUCGGGGGUGGUGGAAAGUUUUUUUCGGCCAGGGAUGUGCUCGCGGCCUAUCAGCUUGUUGGUGGGGUAAUGGCUACCAAGGCUUCGACGGGUAGCCGGCCUGAGAGGUGACCGGCCACACUGGGACUGAGACACGGCCCAGACUCCUACGGGA
rnacentral:rRNA from 1 species